AGGAGCCUGGCUGGCUAUAGAUCAUAGGGUCGCAAAAAGUCAGACACUAUGAAGCAACUUAGCAUGCAAACCGCUAACACAGUGCCUGUCACAUAAUAAGCACUCAGGAAAUGGGGGGAGUGUGGGACCCCACAGGACACCAUCCUGACUUCUAAGCCACCAUCUUCUGCUGCGGACACCAGCUGCAACACAGAAAAUAACAUCAAUUAUGUAGUAGCUUCAUUUGUGGUCUGGCUUCAUCCACAACCAGGCUGAAGUUUGUCAGGGAUUUGUAGAUGGGAAAACAGCUCCAGAAAAGUGAAGGAAUCAGCUCCAAACCCCACAUUACAAAGCCUGGGCUGUAAACCAGGGGUUACAAACUGAUUUAGUGCAGCCUGCUAGGCUAGGAAUGCUUUCUGCGUUUUUAAGUGAAAGAAACGAUGUAUCUAAAAACAGCGAUAUUGUCUUGAUGCCCAAGAAUUAAAAGAAAUUGAAAUCAGCUGCCAUGAACAAAGUCUUAUGGGAACACAGCGCCGCUCAUUAGUUCACCAUCCUCCAUGGUUGCGUUUGCUGCCAAGGGCAGAGUUGAAUAGUUGUGACAGAGAACUCAUGGCCUAGAAAGCCUAAACUUUUUAUCAUCUGGCCCUUCUUAGAAAAAGUGUGCAGACCUCUGCUGGGAAGCACAGAUGCACAGGAACAGUUCUGCCCCCAAGAAUACGAAAUGGAUAAAUAGCAUCUGAGAUAACCCAGGGUCCACCUGAAGGCCACAGGGGAAAGAAGAGUUCCAAAUCAGAAGGCUUCUCCUGGGCAGCUCUCACUGGUCAGACAUUGCCUUUAAUCCUGGAAACUGGAUCUGCCUUUUGCCUUUCCCCUUUAGUAACCAUAAAUUUUGAAGAAGGCUGAGCGCCGAAGAAUUGAUG